AUCCCCCCACUUUGCUGAAGCCUUACGUUCCACGCGAGGUACUUAUGUAGGCAAAGUGGGGGGAU
rnacentral:sRNA from 12 species